UACAGAGGUCUCAAGCGUUGUUCGGAAUCACUGGGCGUAAAGGGUGCGUAGGUGGCGUGGAAAGUCAGAUGUGAAAUCCGGAGGCUCAACCUCCGAAUUGCAUCCGAUACUCCCAUGCUAGAGAACUGGAGGGGAGUCUGGAAUUCUCGGUGUAGCAGUGAAAUGCGUAGAUAUCGAGAGGAACACUAGUGGCGAAGGCGAGACUCUGGAACAGUUUCUGACACUGAUGCACGAAUGGUCAGGGGAGCAAACGGG
rnacentral:rRNA from 1 species